rnacentral:rRNA from 1 species
UACGUAGGGUGCGAGCGUUAUCCGGAAUUACUGGGCGUAAAGCGUGUGUAGGUGGUUUGUUAAGUUAAAUGUUAAAUCUACGGGCUCAACUCGUGGGCUGCAUUUAAUACUGGCAUAACUAGAGGGCGGAAGAAGUAAGCGGAAUUAGCGGUGUAGCAGUGAAAUGCGUAGAUAUCGCUAGGAACACCAAUGGCGAAGGCAGCUUACUAGAACGUUCCUGACACUGAGACACGAAAGCGUGGGGA